rnacentral:piRNA from 1 species
ACUGCGGGCAGGUAAGAGUCCUU